rnacentral:rRNA from 1 species
UACGGGAGGCAGCAGUGGGGAAUAUUGGACAAUGGGCGAAAGCCUGAUGCAGCAUUGCCGCGUGAGGGAUGAAGGCCUUCGGGUUGUAAAGCUCUUUUAAUGAGGACGAUGAAGACUUGACCGGGAGAAUAAGCCCCGGCUAACUCCGUGAU